rnacentral:rRNA from 1 species
AGGAUGAACGCUAGCGACAGGCCGUAACACAUGCAAGUCAGGGGCAGCACAAGGAGCAAUCUGAGGUGGCGACCGGCGCACGGGUGAGUAACACGUAUGCAACCUGCCUGUAAGCGGGGAAUAACCCGUUGAAAGACGGACUAAUACCGCAUAAUACUAAAUUACUGCAUGGUAAUUUAUUUAAACAUUUAUGGCUUACAGAUGGGCAUGCGCAUGAUUAGCUAGUUGGAGAGGUAACGGCUCCCCAAGGCAACGAUCAUUAGGGGUUCUGAGAGGAAGGUCCCCCACACUGGUACUGAGACACGGACCAGACUCCUACGGGAGGCAGCAGUGAGGAAUAUUGGUCAAUGGACGAGAGUCUGAACCAGCCAAGUCGCGUGCAGGAAGAAUGUCCCUAUGGAUUGUAAACUGCUUUUGCAGGGGAAUAAAGUGCAUCACGUGUGAUGUUUUGUAUGUACUCUGCGAAUAAGGAUCGGCUAACUCCGUGCCAGCCGCGGC